UACAGAGGUCUCAAGCGUUGUUCGGAUUCAUUGGGCGUAAAGGGUGUGUAGGUGGCGCGCUAAGUCGGGGUGUGAAAUUUCGGAGCUUAACUCCGAAACUGCAUUCGAUACUGGCGUGCUUGAGGACUGGAGAGGAGACUGGAAUUCAUGGUGUAGCAGUGAAAUGCGUAGAUAUCGAGAGGAACACCUGCGGCGAAGGCGGGUUGCUGGGCCGACACUGACGCUGAUGCGCGAAAGCCAGGGGAGCGAACGGG
rnacentral:rRNA from 1 species